rnacentral:rRNA from 1 species
CCUACGGGUGGCAGCAGUGAGGAAUAUUGGUCAAUGGACGAGAGUCUGAACCAGCCACGUCGCGUGAAGGAUGACUGCCCUAUGGGUUGUAAACUUCUUUUAUAUGGGAAUAAACUGUUCCACGUGUGGGAUUUUGUAUGUACCAUAUGAAUAAGGAUCGGCUAACUCCGUGCCAGCAGCCGCGGUAAGACGGAGGGUCCGAGCGUUAUCCGGAUUUAUUGGGGUUAAAGGGAGCGUAGGUGGAUUGUUAAGUCAGUUGUGAAAGUUUGCGGCUCAACCGUAAAAUUGCAGUUGAUACUGGCAGUCUUGAGUACAGUAGAGGUGGGCGGAAUUCGUGGUGUAGCGGUGAAAUGCUUAGAUAUCACGAAGAACUCCGAUUGCGAAGGCAGUUCACUGGACUGCAACUGACACUGAGGCUCGAAAGUGUGGGUAUCAAACAGGAUUAGAUACCCUUGUAGUC